rnacentral:rRNA from 1 species
UAGCUAGUUGGUGGGGUAAAGGCUUACCAAGGCAAUGAUGCGUAGCCGAACUGAGAGGUUGAUCGGCCACAUUGGGACUGAGACACGGCCCAAACUCCUACGGGAGGCAGCAGUAGGGAAUCUUCCACAAUGGGCGAAAGCCUGAUGGAGCAACGCCGCGUGGGUGAAGAAGGUCUUCGGAUCGUAAAACCCUGUUGUUAGAGAAGAAAGUGCGUGAGAGUAACUGUUCACGUUUCGACGGUAUCUAACCAGAAAGCCACGGCUAACUACGUGCCAGCAGCCGCGGUAAUACGUAGGUGGCAAGCGUUAUCCGGAUUUAUUGGGCGUAAAGGGAACGCAGGCGGUCUUUUAAGUCUGAUGUGAAAGCCUUCGGCUUAACCGGAGUAGUGCAUUGGAAACUGGGAGACUUGAGUGCAGAAGAGGAGAGUGGAACUCCAUGUGUAGCGGUGAAAUGCGUAGAUAUAUGGAAGAACACCAGUGGCGAAAGCGGCUCUCUGGUCUGUAACUGACGCUGAGGUUCGAAAGCGUGGGUAGCAAACAGGAUUAGAUACCCUGGUAGUCCACGCCGUAAACGAUGAAUGCUAAGUGUUGGAGGGUUUCCGCCCUUCA